ensembl:lncRNA
GCAGUUCACGCAUCCAUCUAUUGUGUCUUGCUAAAUUAGCACAUAUUUCUUGGCUGAAACAUUAGGAGGAUUGUGGGUAAGAGAGCUGCAGGAACAUGUCAUUGUGCUUUUGUUUGUUUUUUUUAAUGUCGAAACUGUGAAUUAUCCCUCCAGCUUCUCUCUUUCUCUCUCUCAGCUCUGCAAAAAACUAAACACUUUGUCUUAAAGGAACAAAAAGGCAAAUAAUAAUAAUAACGCAGCGAACGAGAGUCUAAAAAGGGCACACUUCCUUUCACAUUUUUAAAACAAGAGAGAGGAUUGCAGGGUAGGGGGCUGAAUCAGAGAGCAAAUGAGGGAAGGGAGUGAAGCGGAGGGAGCCCAGCCCUGUGGAGAGAUGUCUCACCAGUGCACCACGGAGCACAGCGGCCCUGUGGGGGAGCCGCCGAGGGAAGAGAUGCUGCAAGCAACAGUUUCCUGCAUAACAGUUUGCUGCACUGCAAAUGGGAUGAACUUAAAAAGUCGUGUGCCCCCACCCACAUGACCCCACAACCUACGAUUCUCCCCAAAGUUCCAGCGUGGCUUCUUCUGGCGUUUCAGCCGCUGGAUUCUGCUGGAAGCAGCAGCAUCAGCAGCGCUCCCUUCAUACCUUUUUUUCCUUCUAUUUGUCUUCACGCUGGCAGAGCUGAGCCUGUCGGCAGAGAGCAGUCAAAGGGUAGUAGAGUGUGAAAACAUGUCAGGCCACUAAUCCUAAUAGGAGCUGAUGGCCCGCUGUCAUGCUGGAAAAACCAAAGGAAUGUGAGGAGUUUCCAAAAAAGAAAUGAGUUGACAGGAGUCGAUCCCCAGAUUGCAGCUUCUUUUUCAGACAAACGCUUUCCGAGCAGCGGAGGCAACAAUGCAGCUUUUAUAAAUAAGAGCAUUUCCAGUCAAUGAUGCCUAAAAGUAAAAGACAUGCUUAUCUUUCAGGCAGUGGGGAGUUCCUCCAGAGUGAUGCUUGUAUGUUGCUCUCUGGAGAGCGUCCGAGCCUGAGCCCCACACACACAAGGAUGAAAACACUUCAUGCUUCACUACAGCUGUAAGGAGCGGAGAUUCACUUCCCACCAUUCAUUUGUAGCAUACGACGGCUUCUUCAGUGUUGUGUUCUGGGUGCAGACAUGUUGUGAACAAUGUUUUUACCUCAUUUGUAAGUACAGAGAUAGAUACAUUCAAAUUAUUGCUUUUUUUUUGCCAAGAAGAGCAGCAUAGAUUUAAAAUGUGCCGCUUCAGAGAGAAAAAAGAAAUCAAACGAACAUAUUUUUAUCAACAUGAUGGUGAUCAGCUUUUGACGGUUAUAAGUGUUUUGUAUUUGCUUUGAUCUUUUUUUUCCUCCCCUCAAUAAAUUCAUUUGCACCAGUGCUGAAUCGUGACUGCGUCUGUAAAGAGAAACCGAUGAACUGAAAUGUGAAAAAUAAAUAUUCCUGGCUUUGACUGACAGGGAAACAGCAUUGUUGGGGGGGGAAUUGUUUUAUUGACACACUGCCUAAUAAUAUGUGAAACUUCACGUAUCCCUCCACCAGCAUUGUGUCUGGCAUGAGAAAGACUUUUAACGGCAGAGUAAACAUUUACAAGUUUGGAUGAUUUUUGUGGCUUUACAGUAGAAAAUGACAGCACAGAAUCACUUUAGUGGAUUUUUUUUUUUUUAAAGGAACACCAAGCAAAAAGGAAAAAUGACCAAAAGGCACCCAGAUACAUAUUACAGUAUUUUCUUUUUUCAAAUAAACACAAAGAAACUGUUUCCACAAUGAACGAGUUCAAUGUUGUUUUAAAUGAAGAUGAUGUGAGGACUCUUUAGGAUUACCAGGAUGUCUCCAAUUAUUACUGAAGAAAAGUUCUUCAUCCAAAUAGUGAUUAUUCAAUGUAAUUCUAACUCUAAAGGCUGGAAAACAAGUUAACUCUUGACUUUAGGGACUUCAGCAGCAACAGCCUCCAUCAGACACAGUAAGUCCUCCUACCAGGGUAUCGGUACGUCCUGGAUGCUGCGUGCAGGUCAUACUUGCAGCACGUCACUUGAAUUAAGGUCAGGACUCAGACUUUCAAAAGCUGAAAUCUAUUCUCCUUCAGCCUUUUAGUUGAUCUACUCGGCUCAGUCCCAAAAUUGAACCCUCAAAAACUGAAAAUGACAUCACCUGAGUUCACGAGGGCUCAAACUGAUAGAAAACACUUUGUAACAUCGCGUGAUGUUGCCUUGACAAAGCCAAAAGACGUUUCUUAAAAAUUCCCAAACUUAUGUUAUUUCACUUAUUUAAAUGUUCUUUACAACUAAUGAAUUUUAAGGUCCAGUCUCAUCUUAACAUCUUUCAGGAUCUUGUCUUAAAAAAGGUGAAGAGAGGUCAAACGAUAGAUCUGCUUUUUAUGUCAGCCGUUAAAAGUAAACUAAUUCGGUGUCAAAGCGCAGACUUCAUUCCUCCUCGUUUCAUGUGAACUUCUGUUUCCUGUACUUUUUGGGUUGUUUGCUCCACCCAAGACACGUUUAAUGUCAUACUGCAUGAAGGGGAGGUUCUUGCCUUAGACAAAGUUUGCAUGUGUCCUUAGGCAAACUGGAGAUAAAGGGUUGAAAAUGUCAGCCAGAGUCUUCAUGAACAGCAGAGCGGCCCUGUGUCCUUGCUGAAUCAGCAGUAAUCAAAGCCUGAGUGCGGGCAAAGGGAUCAAACCAUCCUCUCAUAACUGCCUGACACUCUGCUCGAUGUCCAGCUACCGAGGUGGUAAAGCGAUCCCAAACCAUGAUGCUCCCUCUACCAUGCUUCCCAGCUGGGCUGAGGUUUUGGUAUGAGAGCCUAACCUGGUCAAGCACGUCAAGUGUUAUUUCCCACACUGUUCUAAUUCAGGUUCCAGCAAGGCAGAGACAUUUCUGAUCAAUCCCCAACCAACAUCAUUACAUAGCCAGGAGAUUAACAUCUCAGUCAGUUAAAUUCUGCCAGAGGCUGCUGCCGCACACACCUCUCUUUCACAGAAGUGAUGCUGGCGUUCAAUCUAGAACAGGUUCCACAAAAACAACAAUAGUUCCCAAAGUGAGAACCCAUGAUGCUAAAUGAUCUUCACUUCUGUUCAAGGUAGAGCUGGCUCUGCUGGGACUACACCAGUUAAAAAGAGGUAACUAAUGUGCACAAGGUUUACUUUGGCAUUGGUGAGCUGGUGCAACAGUCAAAGUAAUAGCUGGACUCAGAAACUGGACUGUGAGCUCAAAGAUGGGCAAAGUUUGCACAAGCAGGUGGCUUAACGUGCAGCUCCAGGAGAUCAGAUUUUUGACAGCACUGAAUUUCAUCUUUGAUUGAAAAAGUUCAGAUUUCAUUUAUUUUGUACAUUUUGUGGCUGUUUAAGAAGCUUCAACACCAAAAACUACUGAGAUGGAUGUAGAAAUAAAACGGUUAAAAUAGCACAUCCCAAACAAGCAACCCUUGGGUGACUUGGGUCAUCAUGGCAUCACAGCACCAAUGCCAAAGGAUGCUAAUCGCAUUCAGGCUCCAAAAUAUCUGCAAGAUUAUGAUUCAGGCGAGUGCUGCUUGGGUUUCAUCUACGACAGAUGAUAAUUUUAUCUCAUCUAGCUUCAGACCAAUAGAUGAAAACCAAUCCUGCAUCUGGGAGCAAUCCCAACAUCUCGUUUGAUUUUUUAAGAUUGGGAUUAAAGUUCUUUGACUUCUAAAAUCACGUGGAAAGACCUUCAAGAAUAAAGUUGUCCGCCUGCUGCUCUAACAUGACCUGUUCAGCAAACAUUCACGGUCUCAUCACGGUUCAGGGCCGAGGCCAGGUUUCAGAUCGUUUGUCCCAAAAGCAGACUGUUCAAACUAAACCUGGAUCCAAACAAGUUCAUUAGUUGCACAAAGCCGUCUAGUGAGCAUCUUACAUGUAUUUCACGAACAUCCACUUUAAACCACAGCAGACUGUACAGGUUAAUGACCGCCUUCAUCGCCUCUUCAUUAAGAAAACCAUAGUCAGCAGCGGCCUGCUACUAAACUCAAUAUGUAUGGAAAUUAACAAUGCUGAAAAAAUAUUACAUUACUAGACUCUUAUUAGGCAAACCUAAUGGAAUCACUUCGCUCUCAAAUAAAGCAAUCAGACAUCGCCUAAAUUAAACAUCCAAUAUGGAGGCGGGAGGAACAAGCAUUCUCGUUCCGCUCAUCCGAUUGAUAUGCAUCACGACGAGGCCUCGCCUUUAACGAACACCGUGUUUUCAAAAGCCCUGCAACAACCGUGUGCAGGAGUGCUCACGCAUCUGCGAGAGCGUGGAUUAUCAAAGACAGAGGUCCUUAUUAACAAGUGUACAAAUGCAGGCAAACUGAGCUGAGAUGAAGGGGAAGGGACGGAGGGAGGGUGCUAAUUGUCCAACCACUAAUUACCUACGCAGCUCCAGCCUUUCAGUCACCUCCUCGCCUUUGGUGUGAAAGAAGAAAAUGAAGAAGAUCACUGAGAAUUCAUGUUUUCACGCGCUCUCAUUUCUCCUGCGCUGCUGUUUAAACAUGAGCAUCGUCUGUCAUCCCCUCUCCUCCUCCCCGCUUUCUCGUCUAACCACAAAGCCUCGGUUUGAUAUGCAAGUGUUGGCCCCGCUUUCUCUCUCUAUUUUGGAUUGUGGCUCAGAAUCAGCCCCGUUGUCAGGCUGCUGCAAUUUCCUCGCUACUUACAUUAUUCAUGUGUGUGUGUGUGUGUGUGUGUGUGUGUGUGUGUGUGUGUGUGUGUGUGUGUGUGUGUGUGUCAGAGAGACAAAAAUGAAAAGGUUGAGAAUGCUGCUGAUGACAAUCACAGAAAGAGAAAAAACAUGACAGCAAUCACAACAACAACACCGUCACAAAUACCACUUGGUACCAACUCUGACCUCAGUUUUACAGCAAAAGCACAUUUAAGUAGCCGGCAGAAAGCGAAACUAACGUAAUUAUCCUUCCUUUUCUGGGGUAACUGGUAACAUUUAUCACAGCGGCCACAUGUGCCCCACAGAGGGGCCACAUCUGAGCUCUGCUAGUGGUCUGACCUACUCGGUGGGGCUACAGCAGAGUAUGACUAAACAAUCACUGAACGAACAACUCUCAGCAUUUCCUGUUUGUGGGCAACGGUACACAGACUGUAUAUAAAAGAUGGCUGUAUCCCAAUUCAGGGUCUGCAGCCUUAAAGGCUGUCCCGAUUCAAAGGCUGCUCGAAAUGCGGCCCUCAAAUGCGUCCUUCAUUUCCCUGAAUUUUAAGGAUGUGGCGGUGUAGACUUCGUGGCCCAACAUAUCCCAGAAUGCAUAUCGCGGCGGUGGGUGUGGAUAAUUUUGCCGAGAAAAAAAAAAAAAAAAACGGCGGAGGAGGGGCGGCCAAAGAGUUUUAAAAGUAAGUACUGAUUAUUAUGUUAUUUAUGUGCAAAUGUUUAAUAACGAAGAACUUUUAAACGUUACUGUUGGCCACAUGUCGGCAAAGUUAUGUGACAUUAGUGACGUUUGUGCUAACUUGGUUUUAAAGCCUUUACUUUAAAAUAUGCACCGUUCAAUAGUCGACCUUAAUCUUACAGAGAAUGUGAUGAUUUUAUGGAUAUUUAAAGUAACCACUGAGAGAAAUUUAGUAAUGCCAACAUAUUGAAAGAACA